ensembl:lncRNA
CCCUCUCCCCCCUGGCUUCCAGAGAAAAAUGAAGCGGCGGCAACGAUCUAAGAAGGAGAACUUAUUUUACUAACUAUGAUGUUGGGAUGCAAGAUGACACGAUAUAAUACAAUCUAAUUGGGAGUAAGGAUAAUAAACCAAAUGAAAUGAGGGAGAGAGCGAAAGAGCGAUAGAGAGGGAGAGAGAGAGAGAGUGAGAGAGUUUCCGAAACCGAAAGCCUUACUUGAUGAAGGUGCCCGGCUUGGAAAGCACACCCACUCCUCUCCCGGCAGCAAGCGAAAGUGAAGAAAAACCGCACGCAACCAGAUGACGUAUCUUCCGUGAUGUGUCUUCCUUCUCUGACCGUGAGAGCCAAUCAGUCUCACCUCCAUCUGGCCAGUCAGCCUCACCUCUGUCCCUGGAAAGGUGAGAGAACAACUUCUAUGCAGUGAUUCAUCAAAUGAUUUCCAGAAGAAACUAUGACAUUAUCCUACAAUAACCGGCCUCUGUGUCACUCUUACUUGGGACAAAUUCUACAAACAGCUUUGUCUUGCUCCCAUGUCAGCAUUUCUCUGAGUUGUUUAUAACCCUGAAGCCUGGGCUGUGUGUCCUGUCUCCUACCAUGCCAUCCAUGCUUGUACUUCUGCUUCUACAGUCACAGUGUACAAGUAUAAGUAAAAAUAAAACAGAAUAUAGCACCACUCACUAGAAAAGCAGAUGUUAUAUAUAAAAAAAAAAAAAAAAAUGUCCAGGCAAGCUGAUGCAAGUGACAUGAAGUAAACCUUGCAAACACUAAUCCUGAGGCUCUGAGAGUAAGUACACAACUACAGUCUGUUACUACCAAUGACGUUCCUGUGCAUACUGGGCUACUGGGGUAAAAAGUCCUAUGCAAACAUAAAUUACAAACCAUACCUGAUAGUAUUCAAGGUAAAAUCAAUUUCAAAGUUAACAAAGGAGACAGAAAACCUGAACAACAGUGCUCAUGGACCAACCCUGGAGACCCUCAUGGAGAGAGUCGAACUACUGGCAAUUGGGAAUAUGAUGAUUUACUGUGAUGCCCUGCUGUACUUUUAUAACUAUUGUAUUCCGAUUCAUAUUGUAAUGGCACUGAGUAUAAAUUCUAGACAUCUCACAUAAAGUAUGUUCUUUUCAUGCAUUUAAUGAUGUUUUGAGUGCAACACUCAUUUUUUCAAACAAGAAAAAGAAAAUAUUGAUCAUUUAUUUGACUGGAUUUUUUCAGUGAUUAUUCUAUCAUUUUUAGUGCUUACUACAUCAAAAACCUUUUGCAGCAUCUUUCUAAGUCUGCAAUAAUAAGUAAGAUUUAAUCAUAAUCUACUACUUCCAAGUAAGAAUUAGUAUUCAUCAGCUGUUGGGACCUAGUUUUUGACACUUUGAAUUCAACCAUCUAGAGAACACAACCAAUCUCUGAAUUCAGCUCUGUAUUUGUGCUCUGUCUUAUUAUAAACUAAGUUGAAUUAUAUAUUUUAUAUGUAUCCUACUGUACAGUGUGGAAGUCAGAAAUGAUGCCUUCUUAAGGAAUUAUUAUCAGUUGAUUUUGUCAUGUUUGCCUUCAUAAGAAGAAAUAUAAUCAGCAAAUUAAUUGAGAGAUGUCCAAAAUAAAAUAUUUUUAAAUUUGUGCAUUGUCUGAUUACACCUUGAAAGUCUAAAGCAAGGAAGAUCAAAUACAAACACCAGAGGCCACAGAAUAACACUAGUAAGAGACAAUUACUACAUCAAGAGACAGCAUUGAUUAUUACAUUUGCCUUUACUUUUAUAAAUUAGUCUCCUUCAUUUUAUAUAUAUUUAUCUUACGUACAAAAAAGUGAAAUGGAAAAUUAAGAUUGAAUACAACUGUCUGUGGAGAAGGUUGGGCAGAGAGGUUGUAAACUUUUCCUCCAUGGAAGAUUUCUAGGCCAGGCCUGGGCUGUUUGAUCUGAUCCUGUGGCUGGUCCUGUCCUGCGAAUGAGGAUGUGCUGGAUAUCUCCAGAGGUCCUUUCCAGUCCCAGCAGGAAACAUACUGGAGCAAGGCAGGCUACUGGGCAAGAAGGGAAAACAGAUUUCAGUCUCUCUGUCAUCAUGUGGGCAGAUGCUUAUUGUGUGGUGGUUCUCUUUAGCCUAUACAUGAUAUAUCAGUUCAGUCUGUAACCUCCUUGAAACAUGGAAUGUGCCUGUUGCCAUUGCACAUCUCCUAGUUUGAUGGGACUAAGAAGCAGGGACUAUUACAAACCAAAUGAAUACAAUACAUUGUUAAGCAGAUAUUAAAUGACUAUUUGGGGAAUAAAUGUUUUUGCAUUGUGAUUCAUAGCAAAUUCUGCCUGUACAAAGUUGUGGUUAUUCCCUCCCAGUUGUAGGACUGUACAUUUGAUCUCGUUGAACCUCAUAAUGUUCCUCUCUACCCAACACUCACCUUGUCCAGGUCCCACUGAAUGGUAUCACAGCCUUCUGGCAUGUUGGACAUUCUUCCCAACUUUGCAUCAUCAGCAAAUUUGCUGAGGGUGCACUCUAUCUUUUCAUCCAGGUCAUUGAUGAAUAUUGUUGAUGUUGUAAUUCAUAAACAAUAUUAUACAUGUGACACAUACAAACUUCCCUCUUUUAGUUUGGAAACGGUUUGACUCUCGUUCAUGGACUGGUAUACUGGCUUUGUAUUCCUGCAGUGCCUGAUUGUUAUCAAAAGAUUUAGAUUGCUUUAUCUCUUAUUUCCACCUAUAUAAACCUUUAUGCUUCUUUUCUUUUUGUCUGCUGGCUGUUACACAGUGCUCAAUGAUGGUACUCUGGUAGGUUAUUUGAUGUAUAGCAGGUGGUUUGGUUUCCAGGUUGUACUUUUGAGUCUGCUUUUCAAUAGUUAUUCACCAUUAAAUGCAACUGAAUAAGA